rnacentral:rRNA from 1 species
CGGCAUGCCUAACACAUGCAAGUCGAACGGCAGCAUUAUCUAGCUUGCUAGAUAGAUGGCGAGUGGCGAACGGGUGAGUAACGCGUGGGAAUAUACCUUUUAGUGGGGGACAACUCGGGGAAACUCGAGCUAAUACCGCAUAAGCUCUAUUGAGGAAAGCUGGGGACCUUCGGGCCUGGCGCUGAAAGAUUAGCCUGCGUACGAUUAGCUAGUUGGUGGGGUAAAGGCCUACCAAGGCGACGAUCGUUAGCUGGUCUGAGAGGAUGAUCAGCCACACUGGGACUGAGACACGGCCCAGACUCCUACGGGAGGCAGCAGUGGGGAAUAUUGGACAAUGGGGGCAACCCUGAUCCAGCAAUGCCGCGUGUGUGAAGAAGGCCUGAGGGUUGUAAAGCACUUUCAGUGGGGAGGAAGGUCAAUGCGUUAAUAGCGUAUUGAAUUGACGUUACCUACAGAAGAAGCACCGGCUAACUCCGUG